AAAGCUCAAAUUUUAAAUCUGGCAUCUUCGGUGUCCGAGUUGUAAUUUGGAGAGAUAUCUUCGGUUUGGAUGCUGUCCGAAGUUCCUUGGAACAGGACGUCACAGAGGGUGAGAAUCCCGUAUGUGGAUGGCAAUUCCAUUCCAUGUGAAGUGUCUUCGACGAGUCGAGUUGUUUGGGAAUGCAGCUCAAAAUGGGUGGUAAAUGUCAUCUAAAGCUAAAUAUUGGCGAGAGACCGAUA
rnacentral:rRNA from 1 species